UACGAAGGGGGGCUAGCGUUGCUCGGAAUCACUGGGCGUAAAGCGCACGUAGGCGGAUUCUUAAGUCAGGGGUGAAAUCCUGGAGCUCAACUCCAGAACUGCCUUUGAUACUGAGGGUCUUGAGUUCGGGAGAGGUGAGUGGAACUGCGAGUGUAGAGGUGAAAUUCGUAGAUAUUCGCAAGAACACCAGUGGCGAAGGCGGACUCACUGGUCCGGUACUGGACGCUGAGGCGCGAAAGCGUGGGGAGCGAACAGG
rnacentral:rRNA from 1 species